GAGGGUAUAGUUCAAAGUGGUAGAGCACAUGUUUAGCAUGCCUGAGGUCCUGGGUUCAAUCCCCAGUACCUGUU
rnacentral:tRNA from 1 species